rnacentral:misc_RNA from 1 species
AUUCAUCUUCAUACAUCCAAGCUUAACCUUUCAAAUAAGUUAUUGUGCUCUAUAAUAAAUGAAACUCAGACAUUGUGUGUUAAGAAUAAAGAACAUGGAAAAAAUACAUAGCUAAAGCACUACAAUAACCAUUAUGAUAAGCACCAGAAAGCAGCCUGCAGAUAAAUAUCAUCGACAGAAACUCAGCUAUUGUUCUUCUUCCUUGCUUACCAAAAGUAAGGAAGUUGUUCGCAGGAUUUCGCGUACCAGCAACUAAGCUAGGCCUUAAAUAGUCUGGGCUAAAAGGACUCUCUACCGACGAUGCCCUGAAGGUGGCCUUCUAUUUCCUCCCCUCCUAAAAGCUGAGAACUGAUUUCCUGAAGAAUAUGGUUGAUAUCCUGUACCAUUUUGGUUCCGGGAGGCCCUUCCACCACCCUGUUGGUUAUAGCUUUCAGCCCCGCGAGGUUCAUAGCUCAUGGAAACGUCAUUUCCACUCUGCUGGUGGAAAAUGGUAGUUGGUGGAACUGGUAUUUGGCCCA